ACACACACACACACACACUGCUGAUAAUCACGUAUUCUGCAGUGGGAUUUCUAUACAAGCCAUUGCAUAUUCAAGAGCAUAUUUCCUUAUGCGAAGUCAGCCAUGCGAUCAGCUUUCGCAAACACAGGAAGUGGAGCUUAUCUUUUGACAGCGCUGGUGCACGCAGGUGGGAUCAAAUUCAUUCUCAGGUCACAAAGACCUAGUCUGUCUCACAGUCCCUGAAGCACAAUAUUCCACCUUCUAUCCAGCCCUUUCUACAACACCAAUUUAAGCUUCAAAUGAAGCAAGUCUAGAUAUCCUCAAGUUCUGAAUCUCACAUCCCGCUCGGGCUCCUUUUCAAUUUCUAUGGAAUUAUUUGUUUCUAUCGAAAAAAACAAUAUACAUAUUCAGGGACUAAGCGUUAGUCUAGAUAAACACUUGAAAUAGAUCUCCUUUAGUCAUAUCAUGCUACUUUGUUCCCGUGAGAGAGCAUGUCACGCAUUUACACUCGGUUGGGUCGAUCUGGGUAAAACCUGCCGUAUACAAAGGGGUUUUAAAUCACCCGUCCAGAUCGAUAAAACUACAAGUUGCCUUGACCUAGUCAAUCCGGUACUAGUGAUACAAUGACGAGCGGCAGAGGGUGCUAGACCCUGUCCAGGUAUGCAACAUGUCAUGUCCUGGAUCUAAGUCGUAUAGUAACACAUUGUUCUUGAUCUGACCUGUCGCAGCUCUACAAACGACCAAUCACACGUGGAUCACAUGCUGCACUGCAUACAUGGGAUGACGUGAGGCAGGGGAUGCUGCAGGUGCAGGAAGCGGGUGGAGGCUUUGUGUUCGUGUAGGAAUGGACAAUUUCUUCAUCGCUUGACAAAUGAGCGAGACAGUCACAAACGACAUAUCCCAUCUGAUGUGCACAAGUGGAAGUCGCUUUAAGGGCGAGGAUGUCUGUGAGGAUGGAGGCCGGGGGGACCAGGGGGAUCA
rnacentral:misc_RNA from 1 species